AGUCGACGGUGACACGGAGCUUGCUCUGUGGGAUCAGUGGCGAACGGGUGAGUAACACGUGAGCAACCUGCCCCUGACUCUGGGAUAAGCGCUGGAAACGGCGUCUAAUACUGGAUAUGUGACGUGACCGCAUGGUCUGCGUCUGGAAAGAAUUUCGGUUGGGGAUGGGCUCGCGGCCUAUCAGCUUGUUGGUGAGGUAAUGGCUCACCAAGGCGUCGACGGGUAGCCGGCCUGAGAGGGUGACCGGCCACACUGGGACUGAGACACGGCCCAGACUCCUACGGGAGGCAGCAGUGGGGAAUAUUGCACAAUGGGCGCAAGCCUGAUGCAGCAACGCCGCGUGAGGGACGACGGCCUUCGGGUUGUAAACCUCUUUUAGCAGGGAAGAAGCGAAAGUGACGGUACCUGCAGAAAAAGCGCCGGCUAACUACGUGCCAGCAGCCGCGGUAAUACGUAGGGCGCAAGCGUUAUCCGGAAUUAUUGGGCGUAAAGAGCUCGUAGGCGGUUUGUCGCGUCUGCUGUGAAAUCCGGAGGCUCAACCUCCGGCCUGCAGUGGGUACGGGCAGACUAGAGUGCGGUAGGGGAGAUUGGAAUUCCUGGUGUAGCGGUGGAAUGCGCAGAUAUCAGGAGGAACACCGAUGGCGAAGGCAGAUCUCUGGGCCGUAACUGACGCUGAGGAGCGAAAGGGUGGGGAGCAAACAGGCUUAGAUACCCUGGUAGUCCACCCCGUAAACGUUGGGAACUAGUUGUGGGGUCCAUUCCACGGAUUCCGUGACGCAGCUAACGCAUUAAGUUCCCCGCCUGGGGAGUACGGCCGCAAGGCUAAAACUCAAAGGAAUUGACGGGGACCCGCACAAGCGGCGGAGCAUGCGGAUUAAUUCGAUGCAACGCGAAGAACCUUACCAAGGCUUGACAUAUACGAGAACGGGCCAGAAAUGGUCAACUCUUUGGACACUCGUAAACAGGUGGUGCAUGGUUGUCGUCAGCUCGUGUCGUGAGAUGUUGGGUUAAGUCCCGCAACGAGCGCAACCCUCGUUCUAUGUUGCCAGCACGUAAUGGUGGGAACUCAUGGGAUACUGCCGGGGUCAACUCGGAGGAAGGUGGGGAUGACGUCAAAUCAUCAUGCCCCUUAWGUCUUGGGCUUCACGCAUGCUACAAUGGCCGGUNNAAGNGCUGCAAUACCGCGAGGKGGAGCGAAUCCCAAAAGCCGGUCCCAGUUCGGAUGAGGU
rnacentral:rRNA from 1 species